rnacentral:rRNA from 1 species
UACGAAGGGUGCAAGCGUUAAUCGGAAUUACUGGGCGUAAAGCGUGCGUAGACGGUUAUGUAAGUCAGAUGUGAAAGCCCCGGGCUUAACCUGGGAAUUGCAUUUGAGACUGCAUAGCUAGGAUGCGGAAGAGGGAAGCGGAAUUUCCGGUGUAGCGGUGAAAUGCGUAGAUAUCGGAAGGAACAUCAGUGGCGAAAGCGGCUUCCUGGUCCAGCAUCGACGUUCAGGCACGAAAGCGUGGGGAGCAAACAGG